rnacentral:rRNA from 1 species
CAGUCGCCGCGGGAAUACAGAGGGUGCGAGCGUUAAUCGGAUUUACUGGGCGUAAAGCGUGCGUAGGCGGCUUUUUAAGUCGGAUGUGAAAUCCCUGAGCUUAACUUAGGAAUUGCAUUCGAUACUGGGAAGCUAGAGUAUGGGAGAGGAUGGUAGAAUUCCAGGUGUAGCGGUGAAAUGCGUAGAGAUCUGGAGGAAUACCGAUGGCGAAGGCAGCCAUCUGGCCUAAUACUGACGCUGAGGUACGAAAGCAUGGGGAGCAAACAGGAUUAGAUCCCCAGUAGUCCCUGUCUCUUAUACA